rnacentral:rRNA from 1 species
UGGGGAAUUUUGCGCAAUGGGGGAAACCCUGACGCAGCAACGCCGCGUGAGUGAUGAAGGCCUUCGGGUCGUAAAGCUCUGUCAGAUGGAAAGAAAUGUGGGAGGGUUAAUACCCCUUUCACUUGACGGUACCCUCAAAGGAAGCACCGGCUAACUCCGUGCCAGCAGCCGCGGUAAUACGGAGGGUGCGAGCGUUGUUCGGAAUUAUUGGGCGUAAAGCGCGUGUAGGCGGCUCCUUAAGUCUGAUGUGAAAGCCCCGGGCUCAACCUGGGAAGUGCAUUGGAAACUGGGGAACUUGAAUACGGGAGAGGGCAGUGGAAUUCCUGGUGUAGAAGUGAAAUCCGUAGAUAUCAGGAGGAACACCGGUGGCGAAGGCGGCUGCCUGGACCGAUAUUGACGCUGAGACGCGAAAGCGUGGGGAGCAAACAGG